rnacentral:rRNA from 1 species
UACGAAGGGGGCUAGCGUUGUUCGGAAUUACUGGGCGUAAAGCGCACGUAGGCGGAUCCUUAAGUCAGGGGUGAAAUCCUGGAGCUCAACUCCAGAACUGCCUUUGAUACUGAGGAUCUUGAGUUCGGGAGAGGUGAGUGGAACUGCGAGUGUAGAGGUGAAAUUCGUAGAUAUUCGCAAGAACACCAGUGGCGAAGGCGGCUCACUGGCCCGAUACUGACGCUGAGGCACGAAAGCGUGGGGAGCAAACAGG